AUCGUUGUACACAUGGUGUUGUUCCUGCCAAGCCUUGACUGCUGAGUAAGGUGGUGUCAUCUGCAAAUUUGAUCAGGCGGCAUCCUGGGUAUCUGCUGCGGCCGCUGUCAGUGUAUAGUAUGUACAGCAGUGGUGACAACAUGCUGUCCUGUGGAGUGCCAAUACAGUCCCCUGGUGACUGCAGACAGACCAAACACCUCACAGCUGCAGAGUCUCCAAGCAACAGCCAGCAGUGUGGACGACUGUGGUAAAAUGUCACAGACGAUACCAGUGUGCCAUACUGGAGGGAUCACCUCAUGUUGUCCGAGCGGGGAUGAGAAACAAGAUGAAAACAUGACAGCAUCUGGCAAGAAGGCAUCUCUGACUCACCUAUUCAUAGCUGCAUAUGACCAAAUACGGAGACCUUUGAAAAGCAGGACCAAAAGAAAAAGAAGUACGGAGACUCUGAGGCUGAAGUUGCUCAUAGCUCACUCUGAGGUGACAGUGAUUCAGUCUUGUGCAGUCGAACUGAAGAGGCAUUCAUGACUCAGAGAAGGUCAGCCACAGAAAUCUGAAUGAAGCACUGCAAUCAAAGGUCUUCAACGGAAAUCAAGCUCCACUGAGAUAGAAUGCUUAUGGCUGUAAUUAUUUGGCAUAAAUCCUACACAUUUUCUAUGCAACUGUAUGUGUAUUUUGUUAUACAUAGUUGUCUUAUUACAUCACAUUUCCAAAUGUGUGGAUUUUUAGCCAUGCACAGCAUAGCAUUGUCAGUCUGUUGGUUGCUCGAUCCACCCCUUCCUGACUGAAAUAUCUAAACAACUUUUGGAUGGAUUAAAAUGAAAUUUUGUACAGACAUUCAUGGCCCCCAGAGGAUGAAUCCUACUAACAUUGGUGAUGCCCUGUCUUUUCCUCUAUGACCAACACAAGGUUGACAUUUGUGGUUUUGAAUGAAAUGUCUCAACAACUACCGGAUGGAUUACCAUGAAAUUUGGCACACACAUUCAUGCCCCCCUCAGGAUGAAUUUUGAUA